GCUGGGGUAGCUCAGUCGGUAGAGCAGCAGUUUUGUAAACUGCGGGUCGCCAGUUCGAUCCUGGCCCCCAGCU
rnacentral:tRNA from 1 species